CCUGCCCCUAGAGGCAUUGCAGACGUGGCUGCUGUGUCACAUGUGUGUCAGUAGGUGGCAGAGCAGAGAGAAUCUAUCUAGGCUCACUGU
rnacentral:snoRNA from 1 species